AUUGAACGCUGGCGGCAGGCUUAACACAUGCAAGUCGAACGAGUCGCGGACGGGAGAGUUAUGCUUGGGAAUGUAGCUUAUGGAGGGGGAUAACCACGGGACACUGUCGCCAAUACCGUGUUCCAUGGGCUGCGCCUAUGUGGGUUUCGGUUGUUGGUGAGGUAAAGGCUCACCAAGCCGACGAUCUCUAGCUGGUCUGAGAGGAUGACCAGCCACACUGGGACUGAGACACGGCCCAGACUCCUACGGGAGGCAGCAGUGGGGAAUAUUGCACAAUGGGCGCAAGCCUGAUGCAGCCAUGCCGCGUGUAUGAAGAAGGCCUUCGGGUUGUAAAGUUCUUUCAGUAGGGAGGCGUUAACUACAGAAGAAGCACCGGCUAACUCCGUGCCAGCAGCCGCGGUAAUUC
rnacentral:rRNA from 1 species